rnacentral:lncRNA from 10 species
CUGGAGUAUAGUGGCACAAUCUUGUCUCACUGCAGGCUCUGCCUCCCAGGUUCAAGCGAUUCUCCUGCCUCAGCCUGCCGAGUAGCUGGGAUUAGAGGUACCCACCCCAUGCCCGGCUGAUUUUUGUAUUUUUAGUAGAGGUGGGGUGUCACCAUGUCGGCCAGGCUGGUCUCGAACUCCUGACUUCAGGUGAUCUGCCCACCUUUGCCUCCCAAAGUGCUGGAAUUACAGGCGUGAGCCACCGUGCCCUGCCGACGUUUGGAAUUUAUGAGGAAAGGUACAAGAAUUCUUCUAGGCCAGUAAGUGACAGAACUGCAUGUCCCAGCCUGUGCAGCCCCUUGAGUGCAUGUUCUAGAGCCAUCAGCUCUAGAGUCCUUCCGGUUGUCAAGGGUCUCGAGUGCCACCUCUCUACCCUGUGAGAUACGCAGAGGACCCUGUAAAUGCCGUGCCCCGCAUGCCUCGGCCUGGGCGUGAGCCGUACGCGGGGGAGGUGGUGACGUUUGUAAUCCAGACGUCGUUUCGUUGCGACUGGGUCACCUGUGAUGCCCUAAGCCCUGAGAACUUUUCAGGUGUGUGUCAUUAUCCUCCUGCUGUUGAUAACUUUUGAGGUUCUUGCCAAUCCUUAGGUGACUUUGACUACCUUUGGUCAAAGGUAACUGCCUAGAAUGGACAGUGGCUCCCGUUCAACAGACACACAUCCCAGACACCACGCUGGGGGCUACGCCUGUUGUUUAAGAAUGGCCGGAAAAUAUGUUGCCUGCAUUGUGUCUCCAGGACCCGUGUGGGAGGGUUAACUUGGGAGGGGCGGGGUCCCACUAGCCCUAGAUUGCAAGGGUAAACUGCCUGGUGUCCUUCAUGGUGAGUCUUACUCCAUGACUUGAUCCUAGAGAAGGACCAGCUAAGGACUUCAGAGGUCUUGGAGUGAGUUCCAGGCAAGGGCAAGAAACCAAGGCUUUUCAUGGGGUUCUUAGGUAAAGGACGGGGGUAUGGACCAGUCACACUGGGAGGUUGAGUCCUGUCUCCUGGGAAGCCACGUGGCUGUGGGGUGAGCUUGCCCAGGGUUCCUUCCCGCCAGUGUGGAUAUGGCGCCCUCUGCCCAGGCCUCUGAGACGGAACGCUUGGAGCUCGGCCAAUGCUUAGGUCAUCAUAGGUGCCGUGGGGUCAGUCACACUUGGUUGAGAGGUAUGUGACUCGAGGCAGAUUCCUGUCAUUCCUGCUUGUAUUUCAUCAAGUCCUGAGUGAGGUUUGUGGGAAUGGGUGCAGGUGGCUAUGGCCAAAUCCAGGUCUCAACAGACAGCAAACCUCCACACAUCCUGCCAUGUCACUGUUGGAAUUUUCAAGCUGGGUGGAAUCUUAAGGACCAGCUAGAGCAGCUCAGCCCCGAAAAUGAGAAAGUGAAGUCCUGUGACGUGACGGGCUUCUAAAGGUCACGUGGCACAUCCGCCAGGCCCCCGAGAGGGCGCUGGGUCUCGCUCCCACACCACUGCUCUUUGUAAAGUCCUGUGGCCCCUUUUUGUUGUCUGACAACAUCUAGAGAAAUUGCUGUGAGUUUAGGUGGAACACUGGUGCUUACAUUAUGAUUGAGCCCCACCAGGUUCUGAAGAUGUGUCUUGUGCCUGUGGCUCACGUCAUGGGGAGCCUUUCAGGGACACAGUGGCAUCACCAGCCAGGCCCUGUGUGUUGAAAUGGUUAUGGUGGAACUACGUGGGCUCAUGAAACGUGAGAGGCUUCCUGUUGGACUUUUUGUGGCCAGUGUUUAUAGGAUCCUGCCAGCAGAGAGCCUGGGCCUAGGGCCCAAAGGCUGGAGUUAGGAGCUGGGGUGCGCAGAGCCCUGGAAGGGUUUGGCAGGCCAGGGGAGAAGGGAGUAACAGUCUCGCUCUGUGCUUCAGGCUUUUCCUUGCUGGUUCAAGUGUCCGCUAAAAGCAGCUAACGUAAUCAGUACAGCUCCUCUAUUUUGGGAAAUCAAACCCCAAAUCUUUAAUUUGAUUUACAAAGCUUUCCAGGAUAUUGCCUUUGCCUCCCUUUCCAAUCGUGCCACUCGGGAGUUAUUUCUGUUAGAAAAUAGAUAUUUCCCUCUCAGUGUCCCCAAAUGUGAAAGAAAAGUCAUUGUCAUCAGUAGUCUUGGGUAGAAGAGAGGGCAGCCGUCACUGGAAGGGGACCAGUGAGCAGGCUGUUCACAGAGCAAAAGGGAGGGUGGAUCUCCAUGGACAGUCACCGGCUUCAAGUCUUGCUUCUGCUGCUUCCUGGCUGUGUGUCCUUGGGCACGUCACUUGACUCCUGUGCUCCAGUUUCCUCAUCUUCCCAAUGGGCCGUUGUACAGACUAAACGAGUAAAUGAACAUGAAGCACCUGGAGCCAUGCCAGGCCCGAUGUGAGCACUUGGGCCGCAUGGACUCAUGUUAUUAGACCUGGUAGGCCCGGCGCAGGGAACCAAGCCUGUCAAUUUAAAGGGGAGUGGCGGGAGGAACUCAUUUUUAAUGACAGGCAAAAAGGGAAAAUAUUGUAAUACAUGGCUUCCUAUUUUCCUUUCCCCUUUUUCUUGCCUUUGAAUUUAUAAUGUUGCUUAUUUGGUAUUUAAGAUUCUUGCUCUGGAGCUUUGAACAUUUUGAAAGAAAAAGUGUCGUUUAAUAAAUGCUGUCAUUUGACAUUCUGGUUACUAUUUUAGGGCAGCAUGGUAGGUAGACACUGCUAGUUACUUACCCAAUAUCUAUUUUCCUUUUUUUCUUCCAGGAUUGCCAGAUUUAGAAAAUGAAAACGCAAAACUCCAAGUUAAAUUUGAAUUUAAGUAGACAAUGAAUACUUUUUUGGUAUGUGUUCCAAAUAUUGCAUGGGCAAUUUAACUGGGUGUCCUGUAUUUUAUCUGGCUCAACUUUGUUUAGACAGCAGGGUGCACAGCUGAAAAGAUAACUUUUAUAACAUCUUUGCAGCUAGGGGUGGUCACAACAGAGUGCUUUCCUUUGGAAUGAAACUUUUCUAGGAGCAAGUACUUUGCUUCCCUCCUUGGAUUCUGGCUGGAAUUCAAAUGCAAUGCCUGGUGACACAGCA